rnacentral:rRNA from 1 species
UACGUAGGUGCAAGCGUUGUCCGGAAUUAUUUGGGCGUAAAGAGCUCGUAGGCGGUCUGUCACGUCGGCUGUGAAACCGGCUCAACCGGCCUGCAGUCGAUACGGCAGACUAGAGUGCGGUAGGAGACUGAUCUGUGUAGCGUGAAUGCGCAGAUAUCAGAGACACGUGCGAAGCGGGGGGCUCUGGGGGGCGUAACUGACGCUGAGAGCGAAAAAAGCGUGGGGGGAGCGAAAAAACAGAUUUUUUAGAUACUUUUU